GAUGAACGCUGGCGGCGUGCCUAAUACAUGCAAGUCGAGCGAACAGAUGAGGAGCUUGCUCCUCUGACGUUAGCGGCGGACGGGUGAGUAACACGUGGAUAACCUACCUAUAAGACUGGGAUAACUUCGGGAAACCGGAGCUAAUACCGGAUAAUAUAUUGAACCGCAUGGUUCAAUAGUGAAAGACGGUUUUGCUGUCACUUAUAGAUGGAUCCGCGCCGCAUUAGCUAGUUGGUAAGGUAACGGCUUACCAAGGCAACGAUGCGUAGCUGACCUGAGAGGGGGAUCGGCCAAACUGGAACUGAGACACGGUCCAGACUCCUACGGGAGGCAGCAGUAGGGAAGCUUCCGCAAUGGGCGAAAGCCUGACGGAGCAACGCCGCGUGAGUGAUGAAGGUCUUCGGAUCGUAAAACUCUGUUAUUAGGGAAGAACAAAUGUGUAAGUAACGAUGCACGUCUUGACGGUACCUAAGCAGAAAGCCACGGCUAACUACGG
rnacentral:rRNA from 1 species